AACGACUCUCGGCAACGGAUAUCUCGGCUCUCGCAUCGAUGAAGAACGUAGCGAAAUGCGAUACUUGGUGUGAAUUGCAGAAUCCCGUGAACCAUCGAGUCUUUGAACGCAAGUUGCGCCCGAAGCCUUCUGGCCGAGGGCACGCCUGCCUGGGCGUCACGC
rnacentral:rRNA from 3 species